UGAAUACGAGAUGCUACGGCGUCGAAGCAGUCUAUGUCAUACUUCCAAGAAAAGCUUGCACUGUCAUAAACAAAUAAUGCCUGUACCAUAACCGACACAGGUGGGUAGGUAGAGUAUACUAAGGGGCGCGAGAUAACUCUCUCUAAGGAACUCGGCAAAAUGACUCCGUAACUUCGGGAGAAGGAGUGCCUUAUUUAUAAGGUUGCAAUAACAAGAUCCAAGCAACUGUUUACCAAAAACACAGGUCUCCGCUAAGUCGUAAGACGAUGUAUGGGGGCUGACGCCUGCCCAGUGCCAGAAGGUUAAAGAAGUUGGUUAGCAUCCGCGAAGCUGAUAACUGAAGCCCUGGUGAACGGCGGCCGUAACGAUAACGGUCCUAAGGUAGCGAAAUUCCUUGUCGGGUAAGUUCCGACCCGCACGAAAGGCGUAAUGAUUUGGAUACUGUCUCGGAGAGGGGCUCGGUGAAAUAGACUUGUCUGUGAAGAUGCGGACUACCUGCACCAGGACAGAAAGACCCUAUGAAGCUUUACUGUAACCUGAAAUUGAAAUUGGACUUUACUUGCGCAGUAUAGGUGGGAGGCGUUGAGAAUAUUCUUGCGGGAUUAUUGGAGCCAUCAGUGAGAUACCACUCUUGUAAUGUUAGAUUUCUAACUUUGUAUCAUUAUCUGGUCAAAGAACAGUUUCAGGCGGGCAGUUUGACUGGGGCGGUCGCCUCCUAAACGGUAACGGAGGCGCACAAAGGUUUCCUCUGAACGGGUAGAAAUCGUAUCUAGAGUGUAAAGGCAUAAGGAAGCUUGACUGUGAGACCUACAAGUCGAGCAGGGACGAAAGUCGGUCUUAGUGAUCUGACGGUGCUGAGUGGAAAGGCCGUCACUCAACGGAUAAAAGUUACUCUAAGGAUAACAGGCUGAUCUCCCCCAAGAGUUCACAUCGACGGGGAGGUUUGGCACCUCGAUGUCGGCUCAUCGCAUCCUGGGGCGGUAGUACGUCCCAAGGGUUGGGCUGUUCGCCCAUGAAAGCGGUACGCGAGCUAGGUUCAGAACGUCGUGAGACAGUUCGGUCCAUAUCCGGUGUAGGCGUUAGAAUAUUGAGAGGAGCCUUCUUUAGUACGAGAGGACCGAGAAGGACAUACCUCUGGUGUACCAGUUAUCGUGCCAACGGUAAACGCUGGGUAGCUAUGUGUGGAGUGGAUAACCGCUGAAAGCAUCUAAGUGGGAAGCCCACCUCAAGAUAAGUAUUCUCA
rnacentral:rRNA from 1 species